rnacentral:rRNA from 1 species
UUGCUUUUUGUUUAUAUACGAAGUAAGGCCUGCUCACUGAUUAUUUUAAGAGCCGCAGUAUUUUGACUGUGCAAAGGUAGCACAAUCAUUAGUUUUUUAAUUGAAGACUGGAAUGAAAGGUUAAACGAAAAUUUUAUUGUCUCUUAUUAAUUUAUAGAAUUUUAUUUUAUAGUGAAAAAGCUAUAAUAUAAUAAAAGGACGAGAAGACCCCAUAGAGCUUUAUAAAUAAUAUAUAAUUAUUAGUAAAUUAAGUAUAUAUUUAUUUGAUUGGGGUGAUAGUGAAAUAAAUAAACUUUUAAAAUUAAAACAUAAAUAAAUGAAUAUUAGACCUAAUAUAAUAAUAAGAUUAAGUUACCUUGGGGAUAACAGCGUAAUUAUUUUGGAGAGCCCAAAUUGAUAAAAUAGAUUGCGACCUCGAUGUUGGAUUAGAAGUAUGUUUGGGGCAAAAAAUAAAUUGUUGAGUCUGUUCGACUAUUAAAAUUCUA